GACUUCGGGAGGGGUGUAUUUAUUAGAUAAAAAACCAAUGCCCUCCGGGGCUCCUUGGUGAUUCAUAAUAACUCAACGAAUCGCAUGGCCUUGCGCCGGCGAUGGUUCAUUCAAAUUUCUGCCCUAUCAACUUUCGAUGGUAGGAUAGUGGCCUACCAUGGUUUUAACGGGUAACGGGGAAUAAGGGUUCGGCUCCGGAGAGGGAGCCUGAGAAACGGCUACCACAUCCAAGGAAGGCAGCAGGCGCGCAAAUUACCCAAUCCCGACACGGGGAGGUAGUGACAAUAAAUACUGAUGUGGAGCUCUUUAGGGUUUCACAAUUGGAAUGAGUACAAUUUAAAUCCCUUAACGAGGAACAAUUGGAGGGCAAGUCUGGUGCCAGCAGCCGCGGUAAUUCCAGCUCCAAUAGCGUAUAUUAAAGUUGUUGCAGUUAAAAAGCUCGUAGUUGAACCUUGGGCCUGGCUGACCGGUCCGCCUCACCGCGAGCACUGGUUCGGCCGGGCCUUUCCUUCUGGGGAGCCGCAUGCCCUUCACUGGGUGUGCCGGGGAACCAGGACUUUUACUUUGAAAAAAUUAGAGUGUUCAAAGCAGGCCUAUGCUCGAAUACAUUAGCAUGGAAUAAUAGAAUAGGACGUGCGGUUCUAUUUUGUUGGUUUCUAGGACCGCCGUAAUGA
rnacentral:rRNA from 1 species